CUGAGGAGGUCUUUGGUUUGGGCGUUAGCUGUUAACUAAGUAUUUGUAGGAUCAAGGCCUUCUUAUCUAG
rnacentral:tRNA from 1 species